rnacentral:rRNA from 1 species
UACGAGAGGCCCAAACGUUAUUCGGAAUCACUGGGCGUAAAGGGUGCGUAGGCGGGUCUUUAAGUCAGGGGUGAAAUCCUGGAGCUCAACUCCAGAACUGCCUUUGAUACUGAGGAUCUUGAGUUCGGGAGAGGUGAGUGGAACUGCGAGUGUAGAGGUGAAAUUCGUAGAUAUUCGCAAGAACACCAGUGGCGAAGGCGGCUCACUGGCCCGGUACUGACGCUGAGGUGCGAAAGCGUGGGGAGCAAACAGG